rnacentral:rRNA from 1 species
AGCAGCCGCGGUAAUUCCAGCUCCAAUAGCGUAUAUUAAAGUUGUUGCAGUUAAAAAGCUCGUAGUUGAAUUUCGGGGUCAGUAGGUUGGUCAUGCCUCCGGUAUGUACUGGUCUCACUGAUUCCUCCUUCCUGAUGAGCCGUAAUGCCAUUAAUUUGGUGUUGCGGGGAAUCUGGACUGUUACUUUGAAAAAAUUAGAGUGUUUAAAGCAAGCUAACGCUUGAAUACAUUAGCAUGGAAUAAUGGAAUAGGACGUUCGAUCCUAUUUUGUUGGUUUCUAGGAUUGACGUAAUGAUUAAUAGGGAUAGUUGGGGGCAUUAGUAUUCAAUUGUCAGAGGUGAAAUUCUUGGAUUUAUUGAAGACUAACUACUGCGAAAGCAUUUGCCAAGGAUGUUUUCAUUAAUCAAGAACGAAAGUUAGGGAUCGAAGACGAUCAGAUACCGUCGUAGUCUUAACCAUAAACUAUGCCGACUAGGGACCGGAUGAUGUUAAUUUUUAUGUACUCAUUCGGCGCCUUAAC